rnacentral:lncRNA from 1 species
AUGACAAGAAUCUAUUCAGUAUAAUACAUGUAGUAAGUUAUCUCUACACUCAAGAGAUAUUUACUAACUUAUCUCUAAACUCAAGAGAUAUUUAUUAACUUAUCUCUACACUCAAGAGAUAAUAUGUUGGUGUGUCAGAAAAAUACAUAAAAAGGCUGAGUUCUGCUAUCUUACUAAGAAAAUAAAUUACCUAAGAGAAAAUCCUAA